UACGUAGGGUGCAAGCGUUGUCCGGAAUUAUUGGGCGUAAAGAGCUCGUAGGCGGUUCGUCGCGUCGGCUGUGAAAACCCGGAGCUCAACUCCGGGCCUGCAGUCGAUACGGGCGGACUUGAGUGUUGCAGGGGAGACUGGAAUUCCUGGUGUAGCGGUGAAAUGCGCAGAUAUCAGGAGGAACACCAAUGGCGAAGGCAGCUCGCUGGAACGGUACUGACGCUGAGGCGCGAAAGCGUGGGGAGCGAACAGG
rnacentral:rRNA from 1 species